GGGGUCAAGUUGUAACAAAAAAAAAGAGUUUUAAAAGCGUCAAACAAGACAUUCACAGUAUUCAUCACUGUUCUGUUCGACUUCGUUCCUGGACAGGCUGGACCGUGAAGCAAGUCUGCAACGUCUCUCUCUCACUUCUUAUACUAAGUCAAAUCAGUAAGAGACUAAGAGAGAAAGCUAGAAGAAAAAAUGUAGAGAAAUUUGCAAACACCAGCCAGGGCAUUGAAGUCGUUCAUUCACAAGCAUUUGGCGCAGCAGAGCUCUUCACAGUAAGAGCUUUCUUCUCCAGCUCCAGCGUCCUCCAUUUCCGGCAUUGCUCCAACACAAUUCUCUCUACAAAGCACAAAAGAUGGACAGGCAAAAAAAUGAGGAAAUACAUAUGAUUUUAAGGUGGCAACAAAGACGACGUAAUAUUGCAGCUUUGGUCACUUCCAUUGCUGUGUAUUGGUUUAUGCGCCGAAAACGAAGAAACUACAUAGAGAUUGAAAGACACAGAGUACGGACUUCUUCAAAAGGAAAAAGAAAAAGGGAUUCUUUGGAUGAAAUGAUUGAAGCACUGAAAAUUGCUACUGCAGCUCUUGAAAAGGAAAAUGAUCUUCUUGAGAAGUUUUACUUAUCAAAAAAAAAUCUUUAUGAGAAGUUUAACCAAAAGGAAAAAUAUGAAGAAAUCUAUAAUGGGUUAGUGGCGAUUGGAAUAGAGGAGAAUGCAAUUGUUGGUGCUUACAUUUUCCUGACCAAACAUGACCAUCCUGAUAGAAUGACAAUUUCUUGAUUGCCCAUUUACCCAUCGCAAGAGACUCUUGGAGAAAUUGAUGUUCGAUGAUUCUAAACGUUGAUUAUGGUUUCAGUUAUAUUACGCCAUUUACAGAUGUGAACCUUUGAUAACUUUAACUUGGCAGUAUUUUGGGAUAGUUGGUAGAACAUACAUGGUCUAUUAUGUCUAAGUUCGGUUAUGUUAUGUUUCCCCUUUUGUUGUGGAGCUUUCGGGAUGUAAACUUUAAGAUAUUUUGUUUAAUGUGAAGAAGUCUUCUACUUUCUUGAAUGCUAAA